UCGGGCUACAUCUUUCGGUUGCUGAGGGCAAUCUAAGGUGCCGGGUGCUUCCACACCGAUAGUAGAUGUUAUUGAUACGUCAACAGGGCAGGUCACCAUGCGAGCGACCAUAAUGUUAACAAGGUUGGUUAGCUCGGGCAGGUGGAGCUAUAGGUGGGGGUAAGGUAGGAAGAAAGGCAAUUCUGGUUCGUUUGUUUAGAGGGUAACUUAUUGGGUCAGACAAUCUUUUUCUAAGAUAUUGGGGUUGUU
rnacentral:lncRNA from 1 species